CUCAAAAUAUUGUCAUUUUUAGCUCUUCUGAGCCAAAGGCUCAAAGAGCUAAUGCUAUGGCCAUUUGUGCGGUGUGCGUCGUGCGGUGUGCGGUGUGCGUUAACUUUUUAGAAUAUGGGCCAUAACUCAAGAACCCCUUGGCCAAUCAGUGUCAAAUUUGUCACAGGGCAUCCUUGGCCCAAGGGCUACCAUUUAUACUAAAAUAAGGGUUGGGACCCUAAAACAAGGGGAGAUAAUCAGGAAAACAAAACCAAAAGUACUGGUUGCAAAAAAAUCUUCUUCUCCAGAACCACUGGGCAGAUUUUCACCAAACUUACACACAAGGAUCAGGAUAUGUUGAAGAUUAAAAAUUGUUCAAGGCAUGACCCUGGGGCAAAGGGCGUGGUCUCAAGGUCACUUCAAAGUUGACCUAAAUUUACAAUUAAUGAAAAUGUCUAUAUUUUGCUUACUAUAAGGACUAGGAUCAUCAAAUCUUGUAAGUUGAUGCAUCUUAGGACUUCACAUCAUGUUAACUCAAAAGUAGGUCACAGUGACCUACUUUUUUAAUUUUGCAGGCAUUUGUUUUCAAAUUGAUUUGAAUGCAUAUUUUGGACACUUUAAGGCCUAUGAUCAUUAAACUUUGUCAGUUGAUGCAUCUUGGGUCCUUGAACAAGGUCAACUUAAAAGUAGGUCACCGUGACCUACUUUUUGAACUUUAUGACUUAUCCUUUUUAAAACAUUUCAUCCCAUUAUUUCAGACACUGAGAGGGUUAGAAUCAUCAAAUCUUGUAAGUUGCUGCAUCUUGGGACCUAAAAACAUAUUUAAGUAAAAGUAGGUCACUGUGACCUACUUUUAGAAUUUUGCAGGCAUAUGUUUUCAAAUUGUUUAAAAGGCAUAUUUUGAUUACCUUCAGACCAGCGAUCAUCAAACUUGGUCAGCUGAUGCAUCUUGGGACUCUGAAAAAUGUCGACCAAAAUGUAGGUCACCGUGACCUACUUUCGACAUUUUAUGGCUAUAUUUCAGUAUCUUAGGUAUUUAUUGGCUUAGAAUCAUUAAACUUUGUGAGUUGAUGCAUCUUGGGUUUUCGGAGAGUGACGACCAAAAAUUAGGUCACUGUGACCUACUUUCAAGAUGUUAUGGCUAUAUUUAUGUAUCUCCAGUACUUAUCGGCUUAGAAUCAUCAAACUUUGUGAGUUGAUGCAUCUUGGGUUUUCGGAGAGUGACGACCAAAAAUUAGGUCACGGUGACCUACUUUCAGUAUGUUAUGGCUAUAUUUAUGUAUCUCCAGUACUUAUCGGCUUAGAAUCAUCAAACUUUGUUAGUUGAUGCAUCUUGGGUUUUCAGAGAAUGUCGACCAAAAAGUAGGUCACGGUGACCUACUUUUGACAUUUAAUGGCUAUAUUUAUGUAUUUCUGGUACUUAUUGGCUUAGAAUCAUCAAACUUUGUUAGUUUAUGCCUCUUGGGUUUUCAGAGAAUGUCGACCAAAAAGUAGGUCACAGUGACCUACUUUUGAAUAUCUCAGGUAUUUAUUGGUUUAGAAUUAUCAAACUUGGUCAGCAGAUGCAUCUUAGGCCUCUGAUAAAUGUCAACCAAAAUGUAGGUCAUGGUGACCUACUUUUGAAUAUAUCAGGUAUUUAUUGGUUUAGAAUCAUCAAACUUUGUCAGUUGAUGCAUCUUGGGUUUUCGGAAAAUGUCGACCAUAAAGUAGGUCACGAUGACCUACUUUUGACAUUUUAUGGCUAUAUUCAAGUAUCUCCGGUACUUAUUGGCUUAGAAUCAUCAAACUUUGUUAGUUUAUGCCUCUUGGGUUUUCAGAGAAUGUCGACCAAAAAGUAGGUCAUGGUGACCUACUUUUGAAUAUCUCAGGUAUUUAUUGGUUUAGAAUUAUCAAACUUUGUCAGCAGAUGCAUCUUGGGACUCUGAAAAAUGUCAACUAAAAUGUAGGUCAUGAUAACCUACUUUCGACAUUUUAUGGUUAUAUUUAAUUUUCUCUGGUACUUAUUGGCUUAGAAUCAUCAAACUUUGUUAGUUUAUGCCUCUUGGGUUUUCAGAGAAUGUCGACCAAAAAGUAGGUCACAGUGACCUACUUUUGAAUAUCUCAGGUAUUUAUUGGUUUAGAAUUAUCAAACUUUGUCAGCAGAUGCAUCUUGGGAUUCUGAAAAUGUCAACUAAAAUGUAGGUCAUGAUAACCUACUUUCGACAUUUUAUGGUUAUAUUUAAUUUUCUCUGGUACUUAUUGGCUUAGAAUCAUCAAACUUUGUCAGUUGAUGCAUCUUGGGUUUUCAGAGAAUGUAGACCAAAAAGUAGGUCAAGGUGACCUACUUUUGAAUAUCUCAAAUACAUAUUGGCUUAGAAUCUUCAAUCUUAGUUUGUCUAUUAAUGCAUCUUGAGUCCUCAGAAAACUUCAAUCAUAAAGUAGGUCACCGUGACCUACUCAUGUUUUUUUUUAUAGCUUUAUUAAAAUAUCUUCAGUCCUAAUUGGCUAAGAAUCAUCAAACUUUCUAUCAGUUGAUGCAACUUGGGUUUUAGGGUACUUAGGGUUAGAGGCUUCAAAUACAAGUGAUAGGUUGUACAAUUUAUCAGAAGAGCGAUUCAAGGCCCUUGGGCCUCUUGU